ensembl:lncRNA
UUUAAUGUCUUAGCAAUGAAAGGAUGCCACAUCCUUUGAUGUAAACAAUAGUAAAAUGUUUUUGUAUUUUUAUAGACACCCCAAAAGUCAAACUGAAAAAAUGAUGAGGCAGGCUUGUCCAUUUUGCCAAAAUUCUAUUCUAACUCAAAAUGCUUCUGAAUUGUAUCCCGAUGAUCAACCUAGCAACUAAACCCUAUACGGUCAAUUCCUUAACUUGUUUGCAAGUUUCUUUUAAAGUAAUUAAUUUUCUUCCAAAAUUGGAUUCGUCAGUUCGACAUAAUAAAAAACUUCUUUGUUGUUUUUGUUUACCCAAUUCCUCCCCAUCCAUAGAAAGAUUGCAGUGUUAAAUCCUCAGCUUGUCGUUCCGAUUCCUCCCCCCUUUGGAAUGGUGACCUGGUCCAGGUGCAGCAAGGUGUCACUCUAACGGCACAAUGAGCUCCGCUCCGACCGUUCAGCAUCCAGCUGACUGGUCCGGGCGUGGCUCUGCUGCUCUUUGUCCCUUCACCAUGACUGAAUACCUUUAAUGCUUCACAUACUUGCUGCUUCUCCUCUUUCAUCCCUUACAGUGGACCCACAAUACGCUGGUUCUCAAUCUGCUCCCUCUAAAUAUGCUCUCCUGACUUGGCUGAAUCGACGUGGAGUAAACAACGUAAUUCUGCCAGGCAACCACAUCCUGUCAGGGUGCAUGAGUUCAACCUCUCCAAGUUGUGCGGUUUGCUUUAUCCUGAUUCCUUUCAGCCAUCAGUUCUUCAUUAUUCUCAAGGGCUUUAAAAAAUAUUUGGAAGUGUUUAGUAUUGGGGCUGAGAUGAGUGUGUUGGUCAACAUGGAUGAUUGUGUGAUUGACAGUUUAUGUCUGAGAUGUAUGCCGACACCCACGCACAAUGACUGAGUAGAAAUAUAUGGUAAUACACCAAGGAACUAUGAGACAGAGCUGAUCUAGCAUGGUGAUGUACCUUAAUACCUCCUCAUGAGAUACUUUUGUCAGACCUCUGGUCAGCAAGGUGUGUGAUAUUGUUACAGAGAACAAAGAUGUGGACGGAGAUGUGAACCGAACCUUCCAUCCUUCUGAUAAGGUGUGAAGAACCGUUUAAAGACAUCAAAGUUCUUUCUUUUCAAUGGUGCUAUGAAUCUGUGUGAUAUCUUUGUUUUGAUGUUUAAACAAGUUAAUAAUUCAUGACUU